AGUUCGGUAUUGCACCAGGAUUAAAUGUUUGUCUUGCCCAGUAAUGAUGAUAUGUUGGAUAUAUGGAGCCUCUAUUAAUUUGACUUUUACACUCAGAGCGGGAAUGGAGCAAGUUCUUACUAGUUGCAUACCAAGCUGCUCUGAACAAAAACGUGCCUAACGUGACCUGGUAGGAGUCAGUGUCUCAUUUCAGGCACAUUGUGACGAGCGCUCAAUGAACGUAAACAAGUUCCCAGUCCUAGCAAACCUGGCACAAUAUCUGAGGCCUGCUGAAGAAAAGACUGGCUGGGUUGACAGUUGUUUGUUUCUUGACAGAAGCGAGCACAAAGCAAAAACACUUUGUCGAGGAGGAGAAUUGUGAUUUGAUGUGAGAUUAAGUAGCAUGUGAAGAAAGGUUUCUUUCUUUAAUUUCCAUCCUUGGGAUAGCUUUUUUUUACAUUUUCAUCUUGGUUUAGCUUGAGUCGUUUACUUUGCUCAGACUGACAUUGACAGAAUAAACAAUGUAUAAGUGCAGAAAGCAAUGCCUUAUCACAUUCAUUCAAGCACCCACUCCUACCUUGCAGGCAUGAAGAGAAAGUGAUUGAUGUCUUGUCCUCUUCACGGGAGACAAGAAAGUUAACUGACCAUAUGCAGGCUUUCAUUCUCCUCGUGUCCACUGGCUGUGGUCAAACCCGUAUGCCCAUAGGUCAAUCAGUCCCCCCGACAAUUACUCCAAACACGGCUCAGACCUGGGGCCAAAGGACUGCCGUGUCUACAUUCCAGCCGAAUCACUUAACUAAUGACACUGGUUGAACUGAAACAGGCCGGUUUCAGGAUAAAACAGGAUAAUAAGAGGUGAUUUCAGAUUGCCUCCCUCAAUGCUGGAAUUCUGUCAUACUAAAAUGAUUUAAUUAAAAAGUAGGACACAUGCUGUGCUGUUUAUCGUUUUCGUGGGUAUAUGUUGGUCAGAUAAUCAGUGCAAAACAAUUGACAGCUACAUUCUGGUUCUUUAAAAAGUUGAAGUGGAAAGCCUCGGUGCAAAAAAAUUUACGGAGGUGCAAAUGAACUAGAACUAUCAUCGCACCAAGCUCGGUAGGCUACAUUGUCGCACAGAGUUAAAUAGCACUGGGAACUGGUUGACAGUACUUUUUUUCUGGACUAAAUGGACCAGAAAGAGCGAAGAACAUGUGAUUGAAGCAUUGAAUAAAAGUUGGGACUUGCCAACUUUACCAGCUUGUAUUAAUGACUUGCAGCCUGGUUGCCUUCCCUGCAAAAUGAAUGCAGCAUUAUUCUCUUUCUUCACAAAAAAACACAGAAAUAAUGAUAAUCUGAGGGGGAUAAAUUCACAGCUGGGAGCAGCUUCAUUGAGAACUGCCUUGCUCCAGGGAACCUCAUCAGCCAUUACUGAGGGAUAUAGGAUGGAGUUACUAAUUCACUCUCCCCACCUAGAUUUUCUCUGCUUGUCUUGGGAUUCAAAUCUCCUAAUCCUCUCCCACUCUCAUUGUUUUUUCUUUUUCACAUUUACUCUCUGGUCUGCAUGGACUCCCAGAGUGAGCACUAUGAAGGAUUACCCUCCCCCGAUUUAAUCCAAUCAGAAAAAAAAAGCAGGAACUGAUUUCUUAUCUUUGUAAGAUGCUGCAUUUCCCCUCAUCUCGGAGAACACACAGCAAGCAUUAUCAGUCAUUUGAUUACCCUGAGUAAAAAAGGAUACAGAACAGCAGUGGUUUCAGCCUCGAGAGGCCUGAUCUGCACAUUGAAAUCCAAUUGAAGGCUGUACCUUUAUGUAUUUGUUUAAGAUUUGGAAAUAAUUAACUGGGAUAAAAGCUGUUAUGGCAGCAAAAUGGGAUUAAGUAAGGCAUCAGGAGUUUUCUAAAUUCAAGACAAUCUGGGUUUGAGACCCGUUUCCUGCCACUUAACUUUUAUACACAAUUAUAAAAAAGCAUCUGUAUACUGAAAUGUUUUAUAUUCAUUGGACACAUGGCCCUUAGAUGUUUUUAUACUGUAUGUGCACGGCAUGUGUGUGUCUGCACACUAAAUCAGCUCCGCACACACACACGCACACACACAAACACAUACACUAUACUUGAGCCCAGGGCAUCGGCAGGCGAACAGAUGUUGACCACAGAGGACAGCUGAUCUCACUGCGUCUGCAAACAUGUGUUUCUCCUGACCUCCAUAUGGAUAAAACACAUGUUGCCCACACAUACAUCUCCCCCACCAAUGAUAAACCACUUAGGAUACAGUUAGAUGAAUAAUAAAUCCAAUUCUGUGUUGAUAAGUGCUGCAAAUUUUGCAUCUGGAACAUUUGCUGAACCUCUAUGAGACUCAAUGGCCUUCACAGAUCUGUGGAGCUUGUGACAAAUUGAUUCUGAGUGGGUGUUACACAAGAGGAUGCGUGUUUCGAGGCCGAUCCACAGUCCUACGUUUGACCCAUAAACUGCUGUAGUCCUUGAGGGUCCUCGCUCUCGCUAGCAGUAUGUUGUGAGCCUUUUGUUGCUCAAGUGUCACGAACAAAACUCGCUCUAAUUACUAAAAGGUAAUUGUGCUGGCAGGUUACAGCGAAGCUUUAGCUCUCAUGAGCCGCACCCUGAUCCCUGCAUAAGGAUGUGAUUAAACUCCAUCUCCUGUCAUUAACUGUGAGGGCUUUUGGCAAGCGUGCCACUCCGAGUGUGUAAUUGUCAUAUUAGACCCUGUUAUUUGGUCAGAUCUGAGUAUUGGAAUCAAGUUCCUUGCCUGGAGUGGCUGCUGGCAACCUUUAAAUACAUGGCAGAAUUGAUGAAAUUGUUAGCUCGCGUUCCUGCAGUGAUAUGUGACAGCCGAGCUGCCAACUAAUGUUCAAUUUGCCGGUCUGCUAAUAUAACACCAUCCAUGAAGGAAAAGAACAUUCCUAUUUUCCCAUUGCAAAUAGUCCAUAGCUCAAGGGCCAAACAUCUUGAGUGACAUCCAGCUGUCGCAGUACUUCAUAGAGUACAACAUUAAAGUCGCUAGAAUGAAUCAUUUGUUCUUCUGUGUGACACGGUAACUGCCAAAAGAAGCAGCCAGGCGGACGUUCCCAAGAAAUAAAAUGAAACGCGCGUUUACAGACCUGCAGGGAACCUGUUUGUGUUGUAUAUCACACUGUAAAUGGAGCACAGAUUGCUGUAUCCCUUUGCCUGAACUGGCAGAGGCAGGGCAUUGAUCUUGCUUGCCCUCGCUGUGCUGUGAUGCUUCUGUAGACGGAUGGGAGGGGAGGUUGAGGGGGGAGGGGGGCUGCAGCCUUUCAGUGGAGCAUACUACAAAAUGCAUAUGCUCAGUGGCCUCUUGAUGGUACUUCAGAGAUGAGCACAGGAUUUGCUGAGAUUGCUUAAGGAUGGACUCAUUGGGGCAGUUAGUAUCACUUUGAAACGGAAAAAGCUGAGCAGUGGCGGCCAAAAAAAGCUUUUUUUUCGUUCUCUUUAAAGGAGGUCAGGGAGAGGGGAGAGAGCAGAUUCGAAAAUGAAGUGAGUCGGAGCUGCAAAACAAGACAGAAAAGAAGGCAUUUUGUUUACUGAGACAGAUUUAACACAUUGCGCUAAUAAUUACCUUGAGUGGUUUUAAUGGUGCUCCAGUCAGAACCACGGAUGAAUACACAGUUUUUUUGUUUUGUGUCCCUGAUGCCAUUCUAAGGAGGGAUUUUCUGCAGAGCAGGGAUAAUGGAGCGUCAGUGGGGAACCCAGGAGGAAGGAUUUAGAUGUGUUUGAAUUGACUCAGACAUUUUGUUAAGUGUCAUUGUGCACGGCCCGUUUAUCCUCCUUCACUUCACCCCUUUUUCAUUCAUAUCCACUCUGCCGUCUCUUUCAUCAGGGUUUACGGGCAGGGAUUGGUGUGUGUGUGUGUGUGUGUGUGUGCUCGUUAGUGGUGAAGGUACGUACGUGUGUGUGUGCGUGUGUGUGUGUGUGUGUGUGUGUGUGUAGUGAACAGACCAAAACAAAGGUUAUCCUUCCCCCAGUCAGGUCUGUGUUUUGUGUGCAGAGUGAAUCAUGACAGCAUCUACACACACAUACACACACACACACACACACACACACACA
ensembl:lncRNA